UACGAAGGUCCCAAGCGUUAUCCGGAUUUAUUGGGUUUAAAGGGUGCGUAGGCGGGCUAUUAAGUCAGUGGUGAAAGCCUCAAGCUUAACUUGAGAAUUGCCAUUGAUACUGAUGACCUUGAGUACAGACGAGGUUGGCGGAAUUGAUUGUGUAGCGGUGAAAUGCAUAGAUACAAUCAAGAACUCCGAUUGCGUAGGCAGCUAACUAGGCUGUAACUGACGCUGAGGCACGAAAGCGUGGGGAGCGAACAGG
rnacentral:rRNA from 1 species